GAUGAACGCUGGCGGCGUGCCUAAUACAUGCAAGUCGAGCGAACAGAUGAGGAGCUUGCUCCUCUGACGUUAGCGGCGGACGGGUGAGUAACACGUGGAUAACCUACCUAUAAGACUGGGAUAACUUCGGGAAACCGGAGCUAAUACCGGAUAAUAUAUUGAACCGCAUGGUUCAAUAGUGAAAGACGGUUUUGCUGUCACUUAUAGAUGGAUCCGCGCCGCAUUAGCUAGUUGGUAAGGUAACGGCUUACCAAGGCAACGAUGCGUAGCCGACCUGAGAGGGCGAUCGGCCACACUGGAACUGAGACACGGUCCAGACUCCUACGGGAGGCAGCAGUAGGGAAUCUUCCGCAAAGGGCGAAAGCCUGACGGAGCAACGCCGCGUGAGUGAUGAAGGUCUUCGGAUCGUAAAACUCUGUUAUUAGGGAAGAACAAAUGUGUAAGUAACUAUGCACGUCUUGACGGUACCUAAUCAGAAAGCCACGGCUAACUACGUG
rnacentral:rRNA from 1 species